GAGCAAGACCGCGUGAGGGAGGAAGGCCCUUGGGUUGUAAACCUCUUUUCUCUGGGAAGAAGUUCUGACGGUACCAGAGGAAUCAGCAUCGGCUAACUCCGUGCCAGCAGCCGCGGUAAUACGGAGGAUGCAAGCGUUAUCCGGAAUUAUUGGGCGUAAAGAGUCCGUAGGUGGUCGUGCAAGUCUGCCGUCAAAGCAUGGAGCUUAACUCCAUCAAGGCGGUGGAAACUGUGAGACUAGAGUCUAGGAGGGGUAGAGGGAAUUCCCAGUGUAGCGGUGAAAUGCGUAGAGAUUGGGAAGAACACCGGUGGCGAAAGCGCUCUACUGGACUAGAACUGACACUGAGGGACGAAAGCUAGGGUAGCGAAAGGGAUUAGAUACCCCUGUAGUCCUAGCCGUAAACGAUGGAUACUAGGCGUAGCACGUAUCGACCCGAGCUGUGCCGAAGCUAACGCGUUAAGUAUCCCGCCUGGGGAGUACGCACGCAAGUGUGAAACUCAAAGGAAUUGACGGGGGCCCGCACAAGCGGUGGAGUAUGUGGUUUAAUUCGAUGCAACGCGAAGAACCUUACCAAGGCUUGACAUCCGACGAAUCUCUCAGAAACGGGAGAGUGCCUUCGGGAACGUCGUGACAGGUGGUGCAUGGCUGUCGUCAGCUCGUGUCGUGAGAUGUUGGGUUAAGUCCCGCAACGAGCGCAACCCUCGUCCUUAGUUGCCAAUAUUAAGUUAGGAACUCUAGGGAGACUGCCGGGGACAACUCGGAGGAAGGUGGGGAUGACGUCAAGUCAGCAUGCCCCUUACGUCUUGGGCUACACACGUACUACAAUGGUCGGGACAACGAGCAGCGAAGCCGCAAGGUGUAGCGAAUCUCAACAAACCCGGCCUCAGUUCAGAUUGGGGGCUGCAACUCGCCCCCAUGAAGGAGGAAUCGCUAGUAAUCGCAGGUCAGCAUACUGCGGUGAAUCCGUUCCCGGGCCUUGUACACACCGCCCGUCACACCAUGGGAGCUGGCCACGCCCGAAGUCGUUACUCCAACCGUAAGGAGGAGGAUGCCGAAGGCAGGGCUAGUGACUGGGGUGAAGUCGUAACAAGGUAGCCGUACCGGAAGGUG
rnacentral:rRNA from 1 species